rnacentral:rRNA from 1 species
UCCUACGGGGGGCAGCAGUGGGGAAUAUUGCACAAUGGGGGAAACCCUGAUGCAGCAACGCCGCGUGAGUGAAGAAGUCAUUCGUGAUGUAAAGCUCUAUCAGCAGGGAAGAAAAUGACGGUACCUGAGUAAGAAGCCCCGGCUAACUACGUGCCAGCAGCCGCGGUAAUACGUAGGGGGCAAGCGUUAUCCGGAUUUACUGGGUGUAAAGGGAGCGUAGACGGCCAGACAAGUCUGAAGUGAAAAU